rnacentral:rRNA from 1 species
GAUGAACGCUGGCGGCGUGCCUAAUACAUGCGAGUCGAGCGAACAGACGAGGAGCUUGCUCCUCUGACGUUAGUGGCGGACGGGUGAGUAACACGUGGAUAACCUACCUAUAAGACUGGGAUAACUUCGGGAAACCGGAGCUAAUACCGGAUAAUAUAUUGAACCGCAUGGUUCAAUAGUGAAAGACGGUUUUGCUGUCACUUAUAGAUGGAUCCGCGCCGCAUUAGCUAGUUGGUAAGGUAACGGCUUACCAAGGCGACGAUGCGUAGCCGACCUGAGAGGGUGAUCGGCCACACUGGAACUGAGACACGGUCCAGACUCCUACGGGAGGCAGCAGUAGGGAAUCUUCCGCAAUGGGCGAAAGCCUGACGGAGCAACGCCGCGUGAGUGAUGAAGGUCUUCGGAUCGUAAAACUCUGUUAUUAGGGAAGAACAAAUGUGUAAGUAACUAUGCACGUCUUGACGGUACCUAAUCAGAAAGCCACGGCUAACUACGUG